rnacentral:rRNA from 1 species
UACAGAGGUCUCAAGCGUUUGUUCGGAUUCAUUGGGCGUAAAGGGUGUGUAGGUGGCGCCGUAAGUCAGGUGUGAAAUUUCGGAGCUUAACUCCGAAACUGCAUUCGAUACUGCGGUGCUUGAGGACUGGAGAGGAGACUGGAAUUCAUGGUGUAGCAGUGAAAUGCGUAGAGAUCAUGAGGAAGACCAGUGGCGAAGGCGGGUCUCUGGACAGUUCCUGACACUGAGACACGAAGGCCAGGGGAGCAAACGGG